GGGAAGCUAAAAAAUGAAAUUAAUUGCCAGAGUCUCGACCCUGGGAGGGCUAAUUUUUAGCAUUGUUGGCAUUGUAAUAGGCCAUUUUAGCCCGGGCCCAAAUACAUAAACCUGGAAAUAAAAAUACAAUAAAUUACAGACCCAGUUUUAAACCCAAUAACACCCCAACCCUAAAUAAACCCACUAGCCUAAAACACUAAACAGAAUCAAAGAACCCUAAGCAGUUAGCAGCAGCCGCCUUUGUCGCAGCAAUCGUUCCACUUAAGGGUGUGCAAAAUUCGGGUAAAACCGAAAAAAUUCGGUUAACCGACCGAAUUCGGUUAAUCGGUCGGUUAACCGAAUUUUUUCGGUCGGGGUCGGUUAAUUAUUUUUUAAUUUUUCGGUUAACGAUAAUUCGGUUCGAAACCAGUUGGUUAACCGAAUUUUUUCGGUUAACCGAAAAAAUUAAUAAAUAAAAUUAUAAUAUACAAAUAGGCCCACUAUUCACCUAAACCCAAUCUAAACCCAAGUAUUCAACCCAACCCAAUUACCCAACCCAACCCAAUCAUAAAAUUAAAUUACAAAUAAUUUAAUAAAUAAAAAUAAAAUUUUAAAACUAAGACUAAAACUAAAGUCUAAAAGUCUAAAAAUAAUUUAAUUAUGUAGUGAUUCAAUUUGGUUAAUUUGGUUAAUUUGGUUAAUUCGGGUAAUUCAGUUAAUUCGGUUAAUUUUUAACCAAAAAUAAAAAAACAUAUAAUUUUCGGUUAAUUCGGUUAACCGACCGAAUUAACCUGAAAAAAUUUCGGUUCGGUUAAUUUUUUUGAAAAAAUUUCGGUUCGGUUAACGGUUAAAGAUUUUGAAAGGUCAGUUAAUUCGGUUAAUGUUAUUUCGGGUCGGUUAACCGAAUGAACACCCCUAGUUCCACUGCCCACGUCGUUGCUCGCACGUUUAGCCCUUCACGCACGCACCUGCAAACUACGAAUAGCACUAAGAGGAUAUACACAGCAAAAAAAUUGUAAAAAGGGGGGGGGGGGAUUUCAAUUGUAUAAAGGGGGAAUGGAUUGAUGUAAAAAGGGGUUAGUAAAAUAUUGUAUUGAAAGAAAAGAAAUACGAGUAAAGAAUCAGUGGAGAAAAUUUUGGAAAGGUGAUCGGUUUUGUUUUUUUUUUCCCUGUUCUUUUUACUGUUUUUUUAUUUUAUUUUGGGGCUUUUCCUUUGAUUUUUAAAGCAAAAAUAAAAACAAAAGGGAAGGAAAAAGAGAGCUUAUCGUUGAGGCGCCGUCGUCGUCGUUGUGGCCGGUCGGAAAUGGGUCUGAAACGGUGGAAGGGAGAUGGCAACGGCGUGAUUUUAAAAUGGUAGAGGAGUUCUUUUUUUAGGGGUCUGAA
rnacentral:lncRNA from 1 species